UGGACAUUUCCUGUGGAAGAGCGAUGGGUUUGUCCGGUAAACGUAGGUGCUCACUGUAUCUUAGAGGUUGUCAACAUGUCAGAGAGGACUCUGACCAUAAUUGAUCCACUGGGAAAAACGAGGACCACAAGUGGAAGAUCCUACGAAAUUGGAGGAACUUCUUGAAGAUGAAAGGCCAAGGAGACAAGUGGACU